rnacentral:rRNA from 1 species
GAUGAACGCUGGCGGCGUGCCUAAUACAUGCAAGUCGAGCGAACAGACGAGGAGCUUGCUCCUCUGACGUUAGCGGCGGACGGGUGAGUAACACGUGGAUAACCUACCUAUAAGACUGGGAUAACUUCGGGAAACCGGAGCUAAUACCGGAUAAUAUAUUGAACCGCAUGGUUCAAUAGUGAAAGACGGUUUUGCUGUCACUUAUGGAUGGAUCCGCGCCGCAUUAGCUAGUUGGUAAGGUAACGGCUUACCAAGGCAACGAUGCGUAGCCGACCUGAGAGGGUGAUCGGCCACACUGGAACUGAGACACGGUCCAGACUCCUACGGGAGGCAGCAGUAGGGAAUCUUCCGCAAUGGGCGAAAGCCUGACGGAGCAACGCCGCGUGAGUGAUGAAGGUCUUCGGAUCGUAAAACUCUGUUAUUAGGGAAGAACAAAUGUGUAAGUAACUAUGCACGUCUUGACGGUACCUAAUCAGAAAGACACGGCUAACUACGUG